CAUUGUCUACUCCAAAAAUCGUCAAUUUAAAUAAUUUACAGAAUACGUUAUUUAGUUAGUGCUUCAUUUUUAUUACUAACCGUUUUUAGAGAGUGUCUCACAUAUAAUCAUAUAAGUAUGUAAUAUAUGUUCUAAUGUAAAAAACUUUAUGAGCAAAUGUGAAACUACAAAUACCGAUUCUAAUUAUAAUGAAAGAAUACUAAAAAAGAACAGUAUGCGUGAUAGUUAAAGUUAUUUUCCAAUAAAAUUAUUAGCCAAAAAAAAUUUUUUAAGCCCUAUAUACCUAUGUGGUUUAUCGACUAAAGCACAUUUCUGCUUCUAGUGGUAAAGCUUUAAGUAAAUACCCUCGAAACGACUGUAAGUUCUAUUGAACUGUCGAUCUACAUCCAAAAGAUCGUAAGUCCUUGUUCAAAAUUUGAUUGUUGAAAUCUAAAAUUUGAAGCUGCGGACUUCUGUAUUAAUGCGACCGCCCCGAUAACUACCACGUUUUUUCUUAUUUUUUUCCUGACGAAAACCCUUACCACGUGUGACAAUAAGAUCCCGAUUUGCUAAUGUACCGUAAUCAUCUUCGAAGUUAAACGAGUUGUCUCGUAAAGCAGGUGAGGCAAAGUCCCACUGUGAAGGAUCACCUACUCUUGUAAAAGGCGUCUUCGUAGUCCGAGAAGAUUUAGUUGAAGUUGACGAUUCGUCAUCUUCAUGUUUUCUCUUUAAACUUUUGUCAUGUAUUUUAGAGGAAUCCUCAUCUUUAACGCUAGUAGAUUCUUCGGACGAAGUUGAGUUGGUACUAGACUGAGCACUGACUUCACCUGAAGUAGUAGUAUCAGUAUUCGAAUUACCAUCUUCAGAAGAAGAUGAACUAUCUGAAUCAGAUGAGGAAGAGGUUGAGUCACUGUCUUCUGAAGAAGAUUCACUUUCGGAGUCAGAGGAAUCAGAAGAUGAGUCGUCUUCUGAAUCAGACGAGUU